GCCGUGAUGGCUCAGUGGUAGAGCAGUGGUCUCGUCACCGAGAGGUCCUGGGUUCGAAACCAAGUCAAUGCG
rnacentral:tRNA from 1 species